CCAAUAGCGUAUAUUAAAGUUGUUGCAGUUAAAAAGCUCGUAGUUGAAUUUCGGGGUCAGUAGGCUGGUCGUGCCUCAGGUACGUACUGGUCUUACUGAUUCCUCCUUCCUGACGAACCGUAUUGCCAUUAAUUUGGUGUUGCGGGAAACAUGGACUGUUACUUUGAAAAAUUUAGAGUGUUUAAAGCAGGCUAACGCUUGAAUAAUUUAGCAUGGAAUAAUGAAAUAGGAGGUUCGAUCCUAUUUUGUUGGUUUUUAGGAUUGACGUAAUGAUUAAUAGGGAUAGUUGGGGGCAUUAGUAUUCAAUUGUCAGAGGUGAAAUUCUUGGAUUUAUUGAAGACUAACUACUGCGAAAGCAUUUGCCAAGGAUGUUUUCAUUAAUCAAGAACGAAAGUUAGGGGAUCGAAGACGAUCAGAUACCGUCGUAGUCUUAACCAUAAACUAUGCCGACUAGGGAUCGGAUGAUGUUAAUUUUUUAAUGACUCAUUCGGCGCCUUACG
rnacentral:rRNA from 1 species